ACUGGUUCCAUUCGCUUCCCUUUCAGCAAUUUCAGGCACUUUUAACUCUCUUUUCAAAGUCCUUUUCACCUUUCCCUCAUGGUACUUGUUUGCUAUCGGUCUCGAACCAAUAUUUAGCUUUAGAUGAAAUUUACCACCCACUUUGCGCUCCAAUCCCGAGGAACGUGACUCUUAGAAGGCACACCGUGCACGGGGGACUGCAGAUGACAAACGGGACUCUCACCCUCGUUGAUGCUCUUUUCCAAGAGGCUUACAUCUGCGCCUCCGUUGGCAGUACAUCUACAGACUACAAUUCAAGGUCGGGAGACCCCGAUUUCCAUGCUGAGCUCAUCCCUGUUCAUUCGCCAUUACUAAGGGAAUCCUGUUUAGUUUCUUGUCCUCCGCUUACUUAUAUGCUUAAAUUCAGCGGGUUUGCUGACCUAACUUCAUGCCUUGGAGGAAGGCUGAUGAACAGCACUUGGUUGUUGAGGCCACCUUCGCAAACAAUGCAACAGAUGAUGCAUCCGAAGACACUCAAUGAGUUGAUUGAUAAGCAAAGGUUCCCCACAAGCUCAAUGCGUCAAACGCGCUUAAAAGCACAAUCUGACGCACAAAUACGCACAAGCAGCUAGCACCAAGAAGGAGCAUGAAGCUACUGGCAUUAGAAGGUAGAGGCACUGAAGCAGGCAUGCUUUCAGGGAUAUCCCGAAAGCGCAGUAUACGUUCAAAUCCCUAUUGGUUCACGGAAUUCUGCAAUUCACAAUGUUUAUCACACUUCGCUGCGCCCUUCAUCGUUGUUCGAGCCGAGACAUCCGUCGCUGAAAGUUGUGAGAUUGAAUGGGAGUGGAGAGCCACUCACAAGAAAGCAUGGAAGCACAAAGUAAAAGUUCAAGUAGAACCCGACAGCAGGAAUGAGGCUAGCCGAAGGUAACCUCACACUGCUGCCCUUGAGUUUCCGAGUUGGUAAUUGCUCCCUACUCAGAACCUCACGGUCAAGAUGCACAGUGGUUCAAUUGGAUGCGUGCGAAUGAUCCUUCCGCAGGUUCACCUACGGAAACCUUG
rnacentral:rRNA from 1 species